rnacentral:pre_miRNA from 1 species
UUCACUCAAAUUUCUACGGAGUCGGACCAUUUGCCUACGUUCGCCGCUAGGGGCGCUGUUCCGACUGUAUACAAAUUUUAGUUA